GGCAUUGUGGUCGAAAUGGAUAGACAUAAUCCCGCAAGGAUUAGCAUAGUGGUUCGAAUCCACUCGAUGCCUCGA
rnacentral:tRNA from 3 species